rnacentral:rRNA from 1 species
GACGAACGCUGGCGGCGUGCCUAAUACAUGCAAGUAGAACGCUGAAGAGAGGAGCUUGCUCUUCUUGGAUGAGUUGCGAACGGGUGAGUAACGCGUAGGUAACCUGCCUUGUAGCGGGGGAUAACUAUUGGAAACGAUAGCUAAUACCGCAUAACAAUGGAUGACACAUGUCAUUUAUUUGAAAGGGGCAAUUUCUCCACUACAAGAUGGACCUGCGUUGUAUUAGCUAGUAGGUGAGGUAAUGGCUCACCUAGGCGACGAUACAUAGCCGACCUGAGAGGGUGAUCGGCCACACUGGGACUGGGACACGGCCCAGACUCCUACGGGAGGCAGCAGUAGGGAAUCUUCGGCAAUGGGGGCAACCCUGACCGAGCAACGCCGCGUGAGUGAAGAAGGUUUUCGGAUCGUAAAGCUCUGUUGUAAGUCAAGAACGGGUGUGAGAGUGGAAAGUUCACACUGUGACGGUAGCUUACCAGAAAGGGACGGCUAACUACGUG